rnacentral:lncRNA from 1 species
AGGAGAGGGGGGAGGGGGCCGGAAUGGCUACGGGUUUAGGCUAAUAAAUUGGGGAGUUUCGAUAAGAGAGAGGGCGCAGGGGAGCGGCGGAGCAGAUUUAUGGGCGCCAGCAGGAUAAACUAUGACAGAAUGUCAAACCUACACGCGUCCAUUCUCAAAUGGAAAGCAGAAGCGGUGGCGGCAGCACAUUUAAAGAGCAAAUAUCUGAAAUAUACUCAGCACAUUUAAAGCAAAGAUUUCCAAACUAGACAGCUCUACAGGAUUCGCAGGGCAGCAAUACAGGUCAGAGGUUCCUCAGGACUGUUGCGGCUAGAUAUGGGAGGAGAGGGAGUAGGGGGCUGUAUUUCUGCGGGUUUAGGGUAAUAAAUUGGGGGGUUUCAAUAAGGGAGCGGAGGAGCAGAUUUACGGGCGCCAGCAGGACAAACUACGACAAACCAUCAAACUACAUGCGUCCAGUCACAAAUGGAAAGCAGCAGCAGUACAUUUAAAGAGCAAAUAUCCAAAAUACUCAGCACAUUUCGACAAUUAAAUGAGUGGGUCAGCAGAAUCGCCAAUCAAAUAGCAGUGAUGUUUUACCUCCUAGCCAACCCAACCCACCAAUCAGUCAAACAUGUAGGCAGUACCGCUCGAAAUCGCUCAAUGAACAGAUUUAAGGUGAGAGAAUGGAGCUCAAAAUGUGCUCGCUUCGCUGUGCAGACAAUAAAGUUCCUUGCAAAGCAUAACUCUAAUUUCCAGAUGCGCAAAAGGGAGCUCCACUGAUCUAUUCACACCCCAGUACAACGAGGAGAGAGCAGGUAAGAAACCCUACUGAUUUCACUCACAGACCAGUACCCUGAGAGCAGACAAACUAUGCAAGCAUCAGAUUUCCAGUAUGUUCCCUGAUAUCAUAGGACCAUUACACGGAUCAGAUUCUCUAACAAAACUGUCAAUUCAGCAAGCAAUCAAUCAAUCACAGCAAUUAAUCAAAUCAAUCAGAGCAGCAAGCAGCUCAAUUAUUCGGUCAACGGAAGGAAAACGAAGGGAGGCAGGAGCGCGAACGAACCUGUGCUCGUCCUCUGUCCAGGCGAUCCCCUUGCGGCGCUCCUG